rnacentral:rRNA from 1 species
GACGUAGGGUGCGAGCGUUGUCCGGAAUUAUUGGGCGUAAAGGGCUCGUAGGCGGUUUGUCGCGUCGGGAGUGAAAUCCACUGGCUUAACUGGUGGCUUGCUUUCGAUACGGGCAGACUGGAGGUAUGCAGGGGGAGAAACGGAAUUCCUGGUGUAGCGGUGAAAUGCGCAGAUAUCAGGAGGAACACCAAUGGCGAAGGCAGAUCUCUGGGCCGUAACUGACGCUGAGGAGCGAAAGCAUGGGGAGCGAACAGG